AGUGAACGCUGGCGGUAGGCCUAACACAUGCAAGUCGAACGGCAGCACAGUAAGAGCUUGCUCUUACGGGUGGCGAGUGGCGGACGGGUGAGGAAUACAUCGGAAUCUACUUUUUCGUGGGAGAUAACGUAGGGAAACUUACGCUAAUACCGCAUACGACCUACGGGUGAAAGCAGGGGAUCUUCGGACCUUGCGCGAUUGAAUGAGCCGAUGUCGGAUUAGCUAGUUGGCGGGGUAAAGGCCCACCAAGGCGACGAUCCGUAGCUGGUCUGAGAGGAUGAUCAGCCACACUGGAACUGAGACACGGUCCAGACUCCUACGGGAGGCAGCAGUGGGGAAUAUUGGACAAUGGGCGCAAGCCUGAUCCAGCCAUACCGCGUGGGUGAAGAAGGCCUUCGGGUUGUAAAGCCCUUUUGUUGGGAAAGAAAAGCAGCAGGUUAAUACCCCGCUGUUCUGACGGUACCCAAAGAAUAAGCGCCGGCUAACUUCGUG
rnacentral:rRNA from 1 species